GAUAGUUACAAGCAAACGGGGGCAUUCGUAUUGCUACGUGAGAGGUGAAAUUCUUGGACCGUAGCAAGACGAACUACAGCGAAAGCAUUUGCCAAGAAUGUCUUCAUUAAUCAAGAACGAAAGUCAGAGGUUCGAAGGCGAUCAGAUACCGCCCUAGUUCUGACCGUAAACGAUGCCAACUAGCGAUCCGCCGGUGGAUUCCUUGCCCUGGUGGGGAGCUUCCCGGAAACGAAAGUCUUCCGGUUCCGGGGGAAGUAUGGUUGCAAAGCUGAAACUUAAAGGAAUUGACGGAAGGGCACCACCAGGAGUGGAGCCUGCGGCUUAAUUUGACUCAACACGGGGAAACUCACCCGGCCCGGACACCGUAAGGAUUGACAGAUUGAUAGCUUUUUCAUGAUUCGGUGGAUGGUGGUGCAUGGCCGUUCUUAGUUCGUGGAGCGAUUUGUCUGGUUUAUUCCGAUAACGAGCGAGACUCUAGCCUACUAAAUAGUACGCACAUUGUCUCUGUGUGUGUGACUUCUUAGAGGGAUUUUCGGUGUUCAGCCGCACGAAAUUGAGCAAUAACAGGUCUGUGAUGCCCUUAGAUGUCCGGGGCUGCACGCGCGCUACACUGGCAAAAUCAGCGUGCUUGUCCUUCCCCGAAAGGGGUUGGUAAACCCUUGAAAAUUUGCCGUGAUUGGGAUUGGAAAUUGCAAUUAUUUUCCAUGAACGAGGAAUUCCAAGUAAGUGCGAGUCAUCAGCUCGCGUUGAUUACGUCCCUGCCCUUUGUACACACCGCCCGUCGCUGCCCGGGACUGAGCCAUUUCGAGAAACUUGGGGACCGUGGAUUCGGUGGCUUUCGGGUCGCCGUUUUCGGGGACCAUUAUCGGGGGG
rnacentral:rRNA from 1 species